AAGCACUUUACCACGAUUCCUUCGGGAUGACGGUUUAGUGACUGAGUGGCGGACGGGUGAGUAACGCGUGGGGAACCUGCCCCAUACCGGGGGAUAACAGCCGGAAACGGCUGCUAAUACCGCAUAAGCGCACAGUACCGCAUGGUACGGUGUGAAAAACUCCGGUGGUAUGGGAUGGACCCGCGUCUGAUUAGCCAGUUGGCGGGGUAACGGCCCACCAAAGCGACGAUCAGUAGCCGGCCUGAGAGGGCGACCGGCCACAUUGGGACUGAGACACGGCCCAGACUCC
rnacentral:rRNA from 1 species